UACGUAGGUGACCAGCGUUGUCCGGAUUUACUGGGCGUAAAGAGCGCGCAGGCGGUCGUUCAAGUCGAGUGUGAAAGCCCCCGGCUCAACUGGGGAGGGUCAUUCGAUACUGAUCGACUGGAAGGCAGGAGAGGGAAGCGGAAUUCCCGGUGUAGUGGUGAAAUGCGUAGAUAUCGGGAGGAACACCGGUGGCGAAGGCGGCAUCCUGGACCAAUAUUGACGCUGAGGAGCGAAAGCCAGGGGAGCAAACGGG
rnacentral:rRNA from 1 species